rnacentral:rRNA from 1 species
CGGGGUCAGCAGGCGCGAAAACUUCACAAUGUACGAAAGUGCGAUGAGGGAAUCCCAAGUGCAUGCACGUAAGUGUAUGCUGUUUCUUUGUUUAAAAAGCAUAGAGAGUAAGGGCUGGGUAAGACGGGUGCCAGCCGCCGCGGUAAUACCUGCAGCUCAAGUGGUGAUCGUUAUUAUUGGGCCUAAAACGUCCGUAGCCGGUUUAGUAAAUGCCUGGGUAAAUCGUGUAGCUCAACUAUACGAAUUCCGGGUAGACUGCUAAACUUGGGACCGGGAGAGGCUAGAGGUACUCCUGGGGUAGAGGUGAAAUUCUGUAAUCCUAGGGGGACCACCAGUGGCGAAGGCGUCUAGCUAGAACGGGUCUGACGGUGAGGGACGGAGCCCUGGGGCGCAAACCGGAUUAGAUACCCGGGUAGUCCAGGGUGUAAACGCUGCUUGCUUGAUGUUAGUCGGGCUCCGAGCCCGAUUAGUGUCGGAGAGAAGUUGUUAAGCAAGCUGCCUGGGAAGUACGUCGCAAGAC